CAAAUGGAUGCUGUCCAUGCUUCAGUCUGCUGUCUAGCUACACAUUCUGUUAAUUUUUCUCUUCUGUUUCUUUUUCUCUGUGUCUUUCUGCCUUUCUCUAGCCUGUGUCUCUGUGGAAAAAAGGCUGACCCUGGCAGGAAAUGUGUUCUGGGCCUUUACCAGAGAGGACAUGAUGUAGUUCAAGGAUAGAUGGGAGCUGCAGCCAGGCUGAGCCAUGGUGCAAGAUGCCUACAAGCAAGCUCUCUACAGAUAGAAAUUUUUUGGCAAGUCUGGUAUUCAGGAUACCCCUGGGAAUAUGGAGAUGCUCGAGGAGCAACACCAUAGGUUGUUUCCCAGUGAACUUCUACACUCUAAGGCAGAAAGAAACCUAUGGCAAAAUAAGCUUAUGCUAACAGCACUAUAAAUCCACUGUGAGCUACGCUGGGAGAUGGGCCUUCACUGAGGAGCCAGCUCUUGAAGGAGACGAGGCAGACGAGGAGAAGGCGACAAAUGGAGCAUCCUAAAACUGCCGCAACAGAAGUGGUGGUGGAAUUCCUGAGCCGUUUUCCAGAGAAUCCCACCAUUUUCUGUUCACUCAUCUCUCCUCCCCAUCCUUCCUCUCUGGCAGCCAGGAUGGGCCUGGGAUGUGCUCCUGAUGGAAAGAGGUGUGAGGAGAGAAUGGGCAAUACCUUCUCUGGAGCAAGAGGCUUGCCAGCAGAGUUUGUGCUCCACUUGAAGGCAAGUGAAC
rnacentral:lncRNA from 1 species